rnacentral:rRNA from 1 species
AGUGAACGCUGGCGGUAGGCCUAGCACAUGCAAGUCGAACGGCAGCACAGUAAGAGCUUGCUCUUACGGGUGGCGAGUGGCGGACGGGUGAGGAAUACAUCGGAAUCUACUUUUUCGUGGGGGAUAACGUAGGGAAACUUACGCUAAUACCGCAUACGACCUACGGGUGAAAGCAGGGGAUCUUCGGACCUUGCGCGAUUGAAUGAGCCGAUGUCGGAUUAGCUAGUUGGCGGGGUAAAGGCCCACCAAGGCGACGAUCCGUAGCUGGUCUGAGAGGAUGAUCAGCCACACUGGAACUGAGACACGGUCCAGACUCCUACGGGAGGCAGCAGUGGGGAAUAUUGGACAAUGGGCGCAAGCCUGAUCCAGCCAUACCGAGUGGGUGAAGAAGGCCUUCGGGUUGUAAAGCCCUUUUGUUGGGAAAGAAAAGCAGCAGGUUAAUACCCCGCUGUUCUGACGGUACCCAAAGAAUAAGCACCGGCUAACUUCGUG